rnacentral:rRNA from 1 species
UACGUAGGGGGCAAGCGUUGUCCGGAUUUAUUGGGCGUAAAGAGCGUGUAGGCGGCCUGACAGGUCUGCUGUGAAAACUCGAGGCUCAACCUCGAGAUGUCGGCGGAAACCGUCUGGCUAGAGUCCGGAAGAGGAGAGUGGAAUUCCUGGUGUAGCGGUGAAAUGCGCAGAUAUCAGGAAGAACACCUAUGGCGAAGGCAGCUCUCUGGGACGGUACUGA